AUGAACGCUGGCGGCGUGCCUAACACAUGCAAGUCGAGCGAGAAUUUAGUGGAAGAAGCUUCGGCCUAUGAAACUAGAUGACAGCGGCGGACGGGUGAGUAACGCGUGGGUAACCUGCCCUAUGGAGGGGGAUAACACAGAGAAAUCUGUGCUAAUACCGCAUAAGCGCACAGUAUCGCAUGAUACGGUGUGAAAAACUCCGGUGCCAUAGGAUGGACCCGCGUCUGAUUAGCUAGUUGGUGAGGUAAUGGCUCACCAAGGCGACGAUCAGUAGCCGACCUGAGAGGGUGAUCGGCCACAUUGGAACUGAGACACGGUCCAGACUCCUACGGG
rnacentral:rRNA from 1 species